rnacentral:rRNA from 1 species
GACGAACGCUGGCGGCGUGCCUAAUACAUGCAAGUAGAACGCUGAAGAGAGGAGCUUGCUCUUCUUGGAUGAGUUGCGAACGGGUGAGUAACGCGUAGGUAACCUGCCUUGUAGCGGGGGAUAACUAUUGGAAACGAUAGCUAAUACCGCAUAACAAUGGAUGACACAUGUCAUUUAUUUGAAAGGGGCAAUUGCUCCACUACAAGAUGGACCUGCGUUGUAUUAGCUAGUAGGUGAGGUAAUGGCUCACCUAGGCGACGAUACAUAGCCGACCUGAGAGGGUGAUCGGCCACACUGGGACUGAGACACGGCCCAGACUCCUACGGGAGGCAGCAGUAGGGAAUCUUCGGCAAUAGGGGCAACCCUGACCGAGCAACGCCGCGUGAGUGAAGAAGAUUUUCGGAUCGUAAAGCUCUGUUGUAAGUCAAGAACGGGUGUGAGAGUGGAAAGUUCACACUGUGACGGUAGCUUACCAGAAAGGGACGGCUAACUACGUG